ACGCUCGACACCUACGGGGGCAGCAGUGGGGAAUAUUGCACAAUGGGGGAAACCCUGAUGCAGCGACGCCGCGUGAGUGAAGAAGUAUUUCGGUAUGUAAAGCUCUAUCAGCAGGGAAGAGAAUGACGGUACCUGACUAAGAAGCCCCGGCUAACUACGUACCAGCAGCCGCGGUAAUCUGAGCGGGCUGGCAAGGC
rnacentral:rRNA from 1 species